AACGAACGCUGGCGGCGUGCCUAACACAUGCAAGUCGAGCGCGAAUGGAGCAAUCCUAGUAGAGCGGCGCACGGGUGCGUAACACGUGGGUAAUCUGCCCUGAAGCCCGGGAUAACCUGCCGAAAGGCAAGCUAAUACCGGAUAAGCCUACGGUCACCUCGGGCACUGAAGGAAAAGGUGGCCUAUGCAUGCAAGCCAUCACUUCAGGAUGAGCCCCCGGCCCAUCAGCUCGUGGGCGGGGUAACGGCCCACCAAGGCGACGACGGGUAGCUGGUCUGAGAGGACGAUCAGCCACACUGGAACUGAGACACGGUCCAGACUCCUACGGGAGGCAGCAGUGGGGAAUUUUGCGCAAUGGGCGAAAGCCUGACGCAGCAACGCCGCGUGUGUGAUGAAGGUCUUCGGAUUGUAUAGCACUUUCGACCGGGACGAAAACCUGCUGGCCAAUAUCCAGCAGCUUGACGGUACCGGGAGAAGAAGCACCGGCUAACUCUGUGCCAGCCGCCGCCGUAAUAC
rnacentral:rRNA from 1 species